CACGUCCGCGAGGCUCCCGGGCCAGCCGGCGUCUGUGGGGAACUGGGGCGCUGGUCGGUGCGCGGGCUGGGACGCUAAGUCAUGAGGAAUUAAACUGGGAAACCUGGCGUGGGUCCAGGCGCCUUCCAGGAGGCAUCCGGCGCGGCCCGGACGUGCUUCUACCCAGAACCACCCCCUCCAGGCCGGGGUGCACUAAACGGGGCUAUACAAAGAGUCUGGUGGGUGACUGUGGGCCUCAUCCCUAUCCCGGGGUCUGAUAGGGAAGACUCUCGGGCCCCGCAGGGAAUAUCUGGCUAGUGCACCCUCGGCGGGCGCGCCACUCUCCCUCCUUGGGCGGCGCCCCCCCCUCUCAUCCCGCCCAAUCCGUUUUGCAAAGUCGGCCAAAACAAAAACAAACUUGGAGCGCUGAUAGACACUGUUAUUGCCCAUCUGAACUCGUCAACUGAGAAGGAAUGAGAUGGUUUACGCUGUGAAUAAAAUACAGUUGUGCUGUGAUGUUAAAUCCCCUCAUCUGGAGCAGCUGAGCAAGGUCUAAGGCAGGAAGAACCUUCAAGCAGGUCAUGGCUUGCAGGCUCAACUCUGCCUGGCAGUGGCAAGGGCCAGGGCCAGUGACUGAAGCAACAAACUGCCAGAUGACUGCAGCUCAAGCCAAUGCACAAAGCCACUGCACCAAGAGAGGAAAUUCUUCCAUUUCCAAGUGUGUCGAUUUCUCCCCAUCAAGGAAAACAGCUAAGGCAAUGUGUUGAUAUUUUCUUUGACCAAGUCAUCAGGAGUCACAUAGACAUACAGCACUCAAGAAGUGGCUGUGACUAAAGGCAUAUCUCAUUCAUCUACAACCCUUGUAAUCCCAACCUUUGUCUGAUGCACAAACCCUUCCCUAGUUCUCCCCACCACCACCACUGCACCUCCAAGUGGGGACAACGAAUUGUUUCAUUUGCAUGUGGUUUUUCUCAUCAAAAAUAUCAUUAACAUGAGACAGCCCCAAACCAAGGAAACCAGAAGUGGGGUUUGUGCUUGGUCUUACUGAGAGCUUUCCCUACUUGACCAGACCCCAGCAUUGUUCUAGAUUUGUCUCUUGUGGGCUACAGGAAUGCAAACAUUUUGUAGUUUCCUCUUUUUUGUUUUCUUAAUGGCUUGAUGAGCCAUGCAUUUCUCUAAAUGCACUGAUUUAAAUUCACACAAUUUCUGCCAACUAAACUUAAUGCAUUUUCCUCCUCUUCUAAUCAAUAAGGGCUAUCAGAAUGUUUUGGGUGAAGAUGAGCGGAAGGUAAGAAAUUACAUACUGUGGGCCAGGUGUGGUGACUCACAUCUGUAACCCCAGCACUUUGAGGGGCCAAGGCAUGCAGAUCGCUUGAGGCCAGGAGUUCAAGACCAGCCUGGCCAACAUGGCGAAAUCCUAUCUGUACUAAAAAUACAAAAAUUACCCAGGCGUGAUGGCACAUGCCUGUAGUCCCAGCCACUCAGGAGGCUAAGGCAAGAGAAUCACUUGAACCCAGGAAGUGGAGUUUGCAGUGAGCUGAGAUCACGCCACUGGACUCCAGCCUGGACAACAGAGUGAGACUCUGUCUCAAAAAAAAAAAAAAAUUACAUACUGUCGAGUAUGACCUAAAAACAUAGAGCGACUAUAUUUCAAUAGUAUGACAGGAUUAUGUUAGCUGCUAAUAACAGAACCCAAAAUAACAAUAGAUUAAAUAAAAGAUUAGUAUCCCAGGUAAAAGUCUAGAGGUAGGAAUUCUAGGACUAAGUGAAGGUUCUGCUCAGUGAAGUCCUCAGGGACACAGGCACCUUCAGCUCAUAACUCUAUCAUCCCUGGAGGGUACUUAAGGGUCCAGGAUGGCAGCCAAAAGUCGUACCUACGUUUUAAACAGCAGGGUGCUGGAAGACAUAAAGAAAAAGCCAGAGGCACACGCCUGUUCUCACUUAAGGAAAAUUCCUGGAAACUGCCACAAUACACCUUCGCUUACAUCCCAUUGAUCAAAACGUGGAUGCAAAGCCACACCUUACUGUGGGGUACAGGGAAAAAAAAUUUUUUUGAGAAUCAUGAGUUCAUUAACAGAAUUCAGGGAUCUCUUAAUACAGAAGCAAGGGAGAACAGCUGUUGGGGGACCACCAGAAGUCUCUGCUCUAAAGAACAAUGUAAAUACCUGGUGGUAGACUAACACUGAUGGCCUACAAUGAAUCACACCUACUGACAUUCAUGCCUUUGUGCAGAGUUCCACAUUGAUGCUGGGCUUGGCCUUGUGACUUGUUUGGCCAAUAGGAUCUCAGCAAGCACCUUGAUAAGUGCUUGUGCAUUAGGGCUUGCUGUCCUGAAAUCCAGGUGACAUGUAAGAAGUGUGGGUUAGUCCCUAUGAAGAUGACAGACCACAUGGAGAAAGAGGCUGAGCCUAUACCCACCCACCUACCAGAGAAGAUCAGCAGAAGAACCAGUGAAUCAUUAUUGCUUUAGUCAUUAAUUUGGGGGCAAUUUGUUAUACAGCGAUAGAUAAGUGGUACAGUACAUAGACAAAUUUCUGCAGUUCAUCGAGCAUUAGCACCAAAUAAGUAUACAACAGUGUUUGGAGCACUAAAGAGAGUAUAAAAUAUUGCUUAAAAUUGUUUCCUUGGCCUCAUGAAACAGAAAUCGGCUCUGAUUAGCAACCAAAAAAUGAGAAUUUAUUGGAAGAACACUAAAUAGAAUUAAAGAAAUGCCGAAAACCAAGAUUCAAGAAGGGCAGUGUGUUAGACAUAUCAAGCAGUGUAUAUGUCACCUAUAAGCCAAACAGCCUGGCCUAACUCCAGGGUCAUUGACCACUUGUUUUCCCCAACUGCCACCAUAGCAACCAACUGUAUGGGCCCUGCCCAGAGACUACUGAAGCAACAGACUUUACAUGGGCACAUCCCAAUGGUUCCCCUCCCUUUCCCCAAGCCACACACAUCUCACCUCCCACCCCAAGAGGGCUGAGAUAGUGCCUAACUGUUGGGCUUCUAACAAAGUGUAGCCGUAAGUGCAGUGGAGUUAAUGUCCUUGAGGUAAAUCUAAUCAAAACAAGAUGGGUCCAGCAUAUAAACUCCUCUCCUUCCUCCACCCAGACAGAUUGUCCUGAAACACAGUAGUCCAUACUACCUCUCAAAAUAUGACCCUCAUGAUACUGACCAAUCACCCAGGCUUGAUACCAAGAGGUAGCUAGUUCAGUAAUACACUAUUUUAUUAUUAAUAGUUUCUCUUCCUUCUUUGCCCAGCCCGUUCGUCUUCACUCCAGUUUCCCUCAAACUACACUCAGGCGCUGUUUUCUACAGAACCCAGGCUAAAAGACUUGGCACCAGGAGUGUCCUGCAGACACUCAGGAUGGAAUGCUGGAGUUGGGUUACUUUCCGACCGUGUGGCAAUAAAGACCCAUGGCACGGCAGCCUCUAGGAGCUGAGGGCGCCCUCCAGCUGACAUCCAGAAAGAAAUUGAAGCCCUAGGUUGUGAAACCACAAGGACGUGAAUUCUGCCAACACAUAAUGUGAGUUUGAAAGCAGAUUCUUCCCCAGUUGAACUACCAUCUGAAAAUCCAGUUUGGGCUAACAACUUGAUUGCAGCCUUUCAAAAAAGAAUCAGCUAAGCUGUAUCCAGACUUCUGACCAUAAAAACUGUGAGAUAGUAUAUCUGUGUUGCUUAAGCUGUUUAUUUUGCAGCAAUAUUUAAGUUGUUGCUGUUAAGUUACAUAGCAAUAGAUAAAUAUAAAAUAGUACAACCACUCUGGAAAAUAGUUUGACAUUUUCUUAUUGCAUUAAACAUACACUAACCAAAUGACCCAGCAAUUCCACACCCUAAAGAAGUGGAAAACAUAGGUCCCUCCCAAAAACGUAUACCUAUGUUAUAAAUACCUCGUUAUUUAUAACAACUUCAUUUGUAAUAGCUAAAAAUCAGGAAAAAAAAAGUCCAUCAAUACAAAAAAGGAUAAAGAAAUUAUAGUAUAUUAUACAGUACAAUGGAUGCAACUCAGCCAUAAAAUGGAAUGAACUUUUGAUAUAAACACAACAUGAAUGAAUCUCAAAAACAUUAUGCUAAGCUAAGGAAGCUGGACACAAAAUAGUAUGAACUGUAUGAUUUCACUUUUAUGAAAUUUUGAUACAGGCAAACAUAAUCUAUUGUGAAAGAAAUUGGACCAGUGGAUGCUCUGGGGAUUGAGGGCAAGCAUUGACUUGGAAAGGGAAUGGGAUAACUUCUUGCAGUGAUGGACAUGUUCUGUGUCUUGAGGUGUAGGUCACGGAGGUAUAUGCAUUCGUCAAAACUUUGGAGCUUAAGAUCUGUGUUUGUUAUUAUUUGUAAAUUAUACUUGGAUUUUCAAAAAAAAAUUUUAGUAAGCAAAGAACAAGGGAACUAUCUGUUUGCUAAAGGAUGGUAGCAUGUCUCAGCCAAAUUACCCCCAAGACACUUGCAAAAAUAAAGAGACUAACUGAUGCCCUGUGGAGUCUGAAAGAACAUAAGGCUCUGGGAAAAAAAAGACACCUGUGAUUGGUUGAUCUCAGUUGAUCUUUUUUGCUUUGAGCUUCAUUGACUCAAUCCACCCAAAGAAAAUCAUCCCUUCAAUGAAAGCCAUGAACUCCAUAUCCCAUAUUUAAUCAAUACGUAGUCAGAAAAUAAGCUAUACACAACCAAAGCUGCUCAAACAAGUUUCAAUGAUAACUUGAUCAUCCUUACCAUGUAGCUACUUCAAACAUGAUUUGCUUUUCACCAAUUAUAGAUAUUACCUAAUUCAAAGUAAUAUUUGUUGUGGUACUCUAGUGUAAGCAAAGUACAGAGAAUAAAUAACCAAAAGACCUAUGAGCUCAAAACUGUCAGGGACAUCAAAAACGAGAAAAGUCUGAGACACUAUCAGAGUUCCAGGAGCUUAAGGAGAAAAGACGACUAAAUAUAAUGGGGUAUCCUCGAUGGAAUCUUGGAACAGGAAAGGAUAUUAGGUAAAAACUAAGGAAAUCUGAAUAAAGUAUGGACUUUAGCUAAUAAUAAUGUUUCAGUGUUGGUUCCUUACUUGUAACAAAUGUACCAUACUAACUUAAGAUGUGAAUAAUAGGAGAAACUAUGUGCAGGGCCAGAGGUGGGAAGGUAUGGGAACUGUACCAUUUUAUCUACUUCUCUGUUAAUGAAAAACUGCUCACAGCUAGGUGGGAGGAAUAAGUUCUAGUGUUCUAUACCACCAUAGGAUGACUAUAAUUAACAAUACUAUAUCAUACAGUUUCAAAUAGCUAGAAGGAGGGUAUUGGAAAUUCCCCACAGAAAAAAUGAUAAAUAUUUGAGAUGACAGAUAUGCUAUUAAUAAUUAUCCUGAGCUGAUCACAUUAUAUAUAGAAACACUGCUGUGUAUCCAUACAUAUGUACGAUUAUUAUGUGUCAAUUAUAGAAAAGAAAUGCAAAGUUCUUGUUCCAUCCACCACUCACAGGAAGAUAAUCAUUACUCACGUUAGUGCUUUAGUUUGGACUUUGCUAUGGCUUGAAUAUGGUUUGUCCACACCAAAAAGCAAACCAUCAAACAAAAAAAUUGCUCUAAAAUUAAAAUUUGUUUUUUUAAAAACCAAAACCUAUGAGAGCAAAUCUUUAUGUAAUUUAUUAGGAAGAUCUGGGAGACAAGCACUGCAAGGGCAUGCUCUGGGAAAUUUAUCACAUACAAAUACUAAGAGAGGACAGGAUUAAAAUAUGAGGUCAGAAGAAAAAACUCAACACCCCAGGAACAGAAUCAGUGCUUUUUCCUCCAAAUAGUUAUUUUGAAUGUAAUCAGCAUCAACCAGCCUCUCUUCUGUCAGCUCUUAUUAUUUCUAUUUUAUCCCCUGCCAAUCUGGAUGUGGGACAAGUGCAAGUUCCUCCAAAGAAACUACUGGUGUAAAAGUAUAAAUGGGAAACGUAGUUGUUUUUGAUGAUUUUGUAGGAAAAAUGGAGAAGACAUUUAUGUUGAACAUGGAAAACAUGUUUUAAAUCUCUUUAUAUUGGAGAUUAGUAAGGAUAUUAUUUGGAUGAUAGGAGAAAUUUGAAUAUGGACUGAAUAUUAGAUAUUGUAUUGUAUCAAGUUUAAGUUUCUGAGUGGAAUAAUUAUGUUGUGGUCAUGUAAGAGAACGGCCUUGUUCUUAGGAGACACAUGCUGAAGUAUUUGGUGGUGAAGUGUCAUGAUGCUUACAACCAAUUCUCAAACAGUUCAGAAAAUUAUACACAUGUGCACAUUUGCCUCUUUAUCUAUUUAUCUGCCUAUCUAUACACAAAAUGUGUAUACACAAAUAUUUAUUAAAAUAUAUACCUUC